GCGAGGGUAGCUCAGUUGGUAGAGCACAGCGUUGCCAACGCUGUUGUCGCGGGUUCGAACCCCGUCCCUCGCUCCA
rnacentral:tRNA from 1 species